rnacentral:ncRNA from 1 species
GUUAUUUGUAAAAAGAGCGUAUGGUGGAUGCCUUGGUUUGAAGAGGCGAUGAAGGGCGUGGCGUGACUGCGAUAAGCCUCGGGGAGGUGUCUAGCAACCUUUGAUCCGGGGAUUUCCGAAUGAGGCAACUCAUCAGCCGAUGAGGCUGGUAUCCCGAUGCAAAUCGGGAAGCGUACCCGCUGAAGUGAAACAUCUCAGUAAGCGGAGGAAA